ncrna:unclassified sequences dfrA-dnaX RNA
AUGCCUAAUGAUAAAGCUGUUAAUAUUUCAUCAUAGUUACAAUAAUUUAGUUUUUAAAAGGCAACUAUGAUAUAAU